GACGGAGGAUGCAAGCGUUAUCCGGAAUUAUUGGGCGUAAAGAGUCCGCAGGUGGCAGUUCAAGUCUGCUGUCAAAGACCGGGGCUUAACUUCGGAAAGGCAGUGGAAACUGAACAGCUAGAGUAUGGUAGGGGCAGAGGGAAUUCCUGGUGUAGCGGUGAAAUGCGUAGAGAUCAGGAAGAACCUCGGUGGCGAAGGCGCUCUGCUGGACCAUUACUGACACUCAGGGACGAGAUCUAGGGGAGCGAAUGGG
rnacentral:rRNA from 1 species